rnacentral:rRNA from 1 species
AUUGAACGCUGGCGGCAGGCCUAACACAUGCAAGUCGCGCGAGCGGCGGACGGGUGAGUAAUGUAUGGGGACUGCCCGAUAGAGGGGGAUAACUACUGGAAACGGUAGCUAAUCCCGCCUACUAUCAGCUAACCCCUAUGGGAUUAGCUAGUAGGUGAGGUAAUGGCUCACCUAGGCGACUAUCCCUAGCUGGUCUGAGAGGAUUAUCAACCACACUGGGAUUGAGACACGGCCCAGACUCCUACGGAGACAGCAGGGGGGAAUAUUGCACAAUGGGCGCAAGCCUGAUGCAGCCCUGUCGCGUGUAUGAAGAAGGCUCUAGGUUUGUAAAGGACUUUCAGUCGGGAGGCGUUACCGACAGAAGAAGCAGCGGCUAACUCCGUGCCAGCAGCCGCGGUAAUAC